CACGUAGGGGGCAAGCGUUGUCCGGAUUUAUUGGGCGUAAAGAGCUCGUAGGCGGCUCGGCAAGUCGGGUGUGAAACCUCCAGGCUCAACCUGGAGACGCCACUCGAUACUGCUGUGGCUAGAGUCCAGUAGGGGAGCGUGGAAUUCCUGGUGUAGCGGUGGAAUGCGCAGAUAUCAGGAGGAACACCGGUGGCGAAGGCGGCUCACUGGACCGGUAGCUGACGCUGAUGCGCGAAAGCGUGGGAGCAAACGGG
rnacentral:rRNA from 1 species